rnacentral:rRNA from 1 species
UGCAAGUCGAGGGGCAGCGGGAUUGAAGCUUGCUUCAAUUGNCGGCGACCGGCGCACGGGUGAGUAACGCGUAUCCAACCUUCCGUACACUCAGGGAUAGCCUUUCGAAAGAAAGAUUAAUACCNGAUGGUAUGAUGAGAUUGCAUGAUAGCAUCAUUAAAGAUUUAUCGGUGUNCGAUGGGGAUGCGUUCCAUUAGGUANUANGCGGGGUAACGGCCCACCUAGCCUACGAUGGAUAGGGGUUCU